rnacentral:rRNA from 1 species
AUUGAACGCNCNGCGGCGUGCCUAACACAUGCAAGUCGAGCGGUAACAGGUGUAGCAAUACAUGCUGACGAGCGGCGAACGGGUGAGUAAUGCUUUGGAAUCUUCCCAGUAGUGGGGAAUAACCAGUCGAAAGAUUGGCUAAUACCGCAUACGUCUGUAAAGGGAAAGCGGGGGCUCGUAAGACCUCGCGCUAUUGGAUGAGCCAAAGUCGGAUUAGCUAGUUGGUGGGGUAAUGGCCUACCAAGGCGACAAUCCGUAGCUGGUCUGAGAGGACGGCCAGCCACACCGGAACUGAGACACGGUCCGGACUCCUACGGGAGGCAGCAGUGGGGAAUAUUGGACAAUGGGGGAAACCCUGAUCCAGCGACGCCGCGUGUGUGAAGAAGGCCUGCGGGUUGUAAAGCACUUUUAGUGGGGACAAAAAGCUACGGAUUAAUACUCUGUGGUCUUGAUUUAACCCAAAGAAAAAGCACCGGCUAACUCUGUGCCAGCAGCCGCGGUAAUACAGAGGGUGCGAGCGUUAAUCGGAAUUACUGGGCGUAAAGCGCGCGUAGACGGUUUUGUAAGUCAGAUGUGAAAUCCCUGGGCUCAACCUGGGAACUGCAUUUGAAACUGCAUGGCUAGAGUAUCGAAGAGGGAAGUGGAAUUUCCGGUGUAGCGGUGAAAUGCGUAGAUAUCGGAAGGAACACCAGUGGCGAAAGCGACUUCCUGGUCGAAUACUGACGUUCAUGUGCGAAAGCGUGGGGAGCAAACAGGAUUAGAUACCCUGGUAGUCCACGCCAUAAACGAUGACAACUAGAUGUUGGGAGGGUCUGCCUCUCGGUGUCGCAGCUAACGCGUUAAGUUGUCCGCCUGGGGAGUACGGCCGCAAGGUG